rnacentral:lncRNA from 1 species
UAAGCUCACCCGGAAGCUCGAAGAGCUUCCCUUCAUUCGCUUCGCGGGAGCCGCACAGCACAUAGCUGGAAGUCAGAGGGCCCAUACUACCUGCCUAACCCUUCGCUCCGAGGGACCGUAGAUCGGAAAGCGCCUUCUAAACCACCCCAUUCAUCCAAAAGAGAAGGGAAGGGGCCUAUGUAUUUGCAUGACCCCUGCAGAUUUAACCCUAUCUAUACCCGGAGCCACUCCCCUAGCGGCCCUGCCACCACGCCGCAGAACGGGAGCUCGUGUGGAACCUUUUAUUCUGGCGUAACAGCGGUAGAACGUAACAAAAUAUUACGGACGGGAGCUCAUGUGGAACCUUUUAUUCUGACGUAACAGCGGUAGAACGAAACAAAAUAUUACGGCCGCCUAACAUAGGGGACGGAGGUACGGUAAACUCGGCCAAAAUAUGAGACCCGAAGGGCCCGGCGCGCACAAUCCUAUCCUAUCCGAGUCCGAGUUUACCCCUUGCACUUCGGACAGCCGUCCGUAGCAUCAUAAGGAGGACCCCCCUUUCGAGGUACAA